CAGACAGCAGCUCUAUAGAGGAGAGGUGGUUUAGUCAGACAGCAGCUCUAUAGAGGUGGUUUAAUCAGACUAGAGCCCUAUAGAGGUGGUUUAGUCAGACAGCAGCUCUAUAGAGGUGGUUUAGUCAGACUAGAGCUCUAUAGAGGAGAGGUGGUUUAGUCAGACAGCAGCUCUAUAGAGGAGAGGUGGUUUAGUCAGACAGCAGCUCUAUAGAGGAGAGGUGGUUUAGUCAGACAGCAGCUCUAUAGAGGAGAGGUGGUUUAGUCAGACAGCAGCUCUAUAGAGGUGGUUUAGUCAGACAGCGGCUCUAUAGAGGUGGUUUAGUCAGACAGCGG
ensembl:lncRNA